rnacentral:rRNA from 1 species
GAAACAGUGGCUAAGACUGGAUAGGAAGAUAAAAGGCAUCUUUUAUCUUUUAAAAGACCUAUUAAUAGGUAUGCUUUAGGAGGGGCUUGCGCCAUAUUAUUUAGUUGGUAGGGUAAUGGCCUACCAAGACGAUGAUGUGUAGCUGGACUGAGAGGUUGAACAGCCACAUUGGGACUGAGACACGGCCCAAACUCCUACGGGAGGCAGCAGUAGGGAAUUUUCGGCAAUGGAGGAAACUCUGACCGAGCAACGCCGCGUGAAUGACGAAGUACUUCGGUAUGUAAAGUUCUUUUAUCAAGGAAGAAAAGCAAAUGGCGAACCAUUUGUUUGCCGGUACUUGAUGAAUAAACCCCGGCUAAUUAUGUGCCAGCAGCCGCGGCACCACAUAAGGGGCAAGUGUUAUCCGGAAUUAUUGGGCGUAAAGGGUGCGUAUGCGGUCUAGUAAGUCAGUGGUGUAAUGGCAACGCUUAACGUUGUCCGGCUAUUGAAACUGCUAAACUUGAGUUAGAUAGAGGCGAGUGGAAUUCCAUGUGUAGCGGUAAAAUGCGUAAAUAUAUGGAGGAACACCAGAGGCGUAGGCGGCUCGCUGGGUCUUAACUGACGCUAAGGCACGAAAGCGUGGGGAGCAAACAAGGAUUAAUACCCUGCUAGUCUACGCCGUAAACGAUGAGUACUAAAUGUCGGGUUAAACCGGUACUGAAAGUAACACAUUAAGUACUCCGCCUGAGUAGUACGUACGCAAGUAUGAAACUUAAAGGAAUUGACGGGACUCCGCACAAGCGGUGGAUCAUGUUGUUUAAUUCGAAGAUACCCGAAAAACCUUACCAGGUCUUGACAUGUUUUUGCAAAAUGAUAGUAAUAUCGUGGAGGUUACCAGAAACACAGGUGGUGCAUGGUUGUCGUCAGCUCGUGUCGUGAGAUGUUAGGUUAAGUCCUAAAACGAGCGAAACCCUUAUCGUUAGUUGCCAGCACGUUAUGGUGGGGACUUUAACGAGACUGCCAAUGAUAAAUUGGAGGAAGGUGAGGAUCACGUCAAAUCAGCAUGCCCCUUAUGACCUGGGCUACAAACGUGAUACAAUGGCUGUUACAAAGGGUAGCUGAAACGCAAGUUCUUGGCCAAUCCCCAAAAAACAGUCCCAGUCCGGAUUGAAGUCUGCAACUCGACUUCAUGAAGUUGGAAUCGCUAGUAAUCGCGAAUCAGCAUGUCGCGGUGAAUACGUUCUCGGGGUUUGUACACACCGCCCGUCA